UGGCUGUCGUCAGCUCGUGUCGUGAGAUGUUGGGUUAAGUCCCGCAACGAGCGCAACCCUUGUCAUUAGUUGCUACAUUUAGUUGGGCACUCUAAUGAGACUGCCGGUGACAAACCGGAGGAAGGUGGGGAUGACGUCAAGUCCUCAUGGCCCUUAUAGGUGGGGCUACACACGUCAUACAAUGGCUGGUACAAAGGGUUGCCAACCCGCGAGGGGGAGCUAAUCCCAUAAAGCCAGUCGUAGUCCGGAUCGCAGUCUGCAACUCGACUGCGUGAAGUCGGAAUCGCUAGUAAUCGUGGAUCAG
rnacentral:rRNA from 1 species